AAUGCACCAAUUUGCCAGUCGCUCUGGAUAAGAGCGUCUGCUAAAUGACUUAAA
rfam:Salmo salar isolate Sally breed double haploid chromosome ssa17, whole genome shotgun sequence.